CUAGACGAACUGCCGUUGACAAACGGAGGAAGGUGGGAUGACGUCAAAUCAUCAUGCCCCUUAUGUUCUGGGCUACACACGUGCUACAAUGGCCGGUACAGACGGACGCAAAGCCGCGAGGUGGAGCAAAUCCUAAAAAGCCCGGUCUCAGUUCGGAUUGCAGGCUGCAAUUCGCCUGCAUGAAGUCGGAAUCGCUAGUAAUCGCAGGUCAGCAUACUGCGGUGAAUACGUUCCCGGGCCUU
rnacentral:rRNA from 1 species